rnacentral:rRNA from 1 species
UAGGGAAUCUUCCACAAUGGACGCAAGUCUGAUGGAGCAACGCCGCGUGAGUGAAGAAGGUUUUCGGACCGUAAAGCUCUGUUGUUGGUGAAGAAGGAUAGAGGUAGUAACUGGCCUUUAUUUGACGGUAAUCAACCAGAAAGUCACGGCUAACUACGUGCCAGCAGCCGCGGUAAUACGUAGGUGGCAAGCGUUGUCCGGAUUUAUUGGGCGUAAAGCGAGCGCAGGCGGAAGAAUAAGUCUGAUGUGAAAGCCCUCGGCUUAACCGAGGAAUUGCAUCGGAAACUGUUUUUCUUGAGUGCAGAAGAGGAGAGUAGAACUCCAUGUGUAGCGGUGGAAUGCGUAGAUAUAUGGAAGAAUACCAGUGGCGAAGGCGGCUCUCUGGUCUGCAACUGACGCUGAGGCUCGAAAGCAUGGUAGCGAACAGGAUUAGAUACCCUGGUAGUCCAUGCCGUAAACGAUGAGUGCUAAGUGUUGGGAGGCUUCCGCCUCUCAGUGCUGCAGCUAACGCAUUAAGCACUCCGCCUGGGGGAGUACGACCGCAAGGUUGAA